CCUGNCCAGUGACAAUAAGUUUAACGGCCGCGGUAUUUUAACCGUGCUAAGGUAGCGUAAUCACUUGUCUUUUAAAUGAAGACCCGUAUGAAAGGUGUCACGAGGGCCCCCCUGUCUCCUACUUCAAGUCUGUGAAAUUGAUCUACCCGUGCAGAAGCGGGUAUAAUAACAUAAGACGAGAAGACCCUGUGGAGCUUAAGACGAAUCAACCAACCGUGCCUAACAGCCCAUCCCCCUAACAGGAAAUAAAAGCCAAACAAGCAUAACGACCCAUGAUUGAACUGUCUUCGGUUGGGGCGACCAUGGGGGAUAAAAAAGCCUCCAAGAGGAAACAGGGGACCAGUUCAACCGAUCCCUAAGAGCCAAGAGCCACCGCUCUAAGCAACAGAAAACUCUGACCAAUAAUGAUCCAGGCAUCCGCCUGAUCAACGAACCAAGUUACCCCAGGGAUAACAGCGCAAUCCUUUCCCAGAGCCCAUAUCGCCGAAAGGGUUUACGACCUCGAUGUUGGAUCAGGACAUCCUGGUGGCGAAAAUUCUACCAAGGGUNCGU
rnacentral:rRNA from 1 species